rnacentral:rRNA from 1 species
UACGAAGGGGGCUAGCGUUGCUCGGAAUCACUGGGCGUAAAGCGCACGUAGGCGGACUCUUAAGUCGGGGGGUGAAAUCCUGGAGCUCAACUCCAGAACUGCCUUCGAUACUGGGGAGUCUUGAGUUCGGGAGAGGUGAGUGGAACUGCGAGUGUAGAGGUGAAAUUCGUAGAUAUUCGCAAGAACACCAGUGGCGAAGGCGGCUCACUGGCCCGAUACUGACGCUGAGGUGCGAAAGCGUGGGGAGCAAACAGG